AGCUUGUUAAAGCUACAGUCGUUUAUGUGUUUCUGUAUAUAUUAACGUAAUCAAUGAUAUAAGUAUAAAUUUAAUGUUUAAUUUAUUUGAUGGCAACAUCUGUAAGUUUACCUAGAAAGUUAGCGAAGAUUUCUUCUUAAGCUCAAGGUCUUCCUGCGAUGGCCAAUAAGACAACAGAACAUCUGCCUCAUUCAGGAGUGUAUCAUAUACUAGAAACCACGUACCCUGAACCACUUUCCGGGUUACACAGGUCAACAAGGAGAGAUUUUUCUCACUCCUACAGAAGCAGUCAGAGGUUGAAUCUUCAGGCACGACGAGAAAAACGUCGUCGCACCAUACAUAUACCGUUCGACGAAAUCAAAGAAGUUGACGAAGAAAGUUUGGAUGAUUCUGACAAACACGAUAAGGUUGUAUUGCUAAUGUCAAGUAGGUCACAAAAUGAACUUCACAAGAACCUGGUGAAUUUUUCUCCAGAAGUUAAUGUGCGGCAUGGGAAGUCGAGUUCUCUUCAGGAGCCUUCCAAAAGUUUCACGUUGUCAGCGCACAGCCAACCUCAACAACAACAACAAGUUCAAGUCAAGACUACAGAUGUUUAAAAUUCUUAAAUCCACGUGACUGAGGUUAAAAUGCAUCGAAAGUUAUAUAAGUUAACAACCUUGUAAAGUGAAGAAUUUUUCCUAUAAUUAAGCAUUACUUAACAUUCAGCAUCACGAGAUGUACACCUUUUAUGACGACAGAAAAUUAAUUUUCUGCUACAUAUAACUUGGAAAAAGAAGCAAGCAUUUAUAAGCACCAAGUGAAUUGGGUUCUAAGCCAACGGUGUUUGUUUUUACCUAUAUAAGUGAACUAGGGAUUAAGCUGGUUGAGCAGAUCAUCACUAGAAACACCGUAUAUACCAAGAACAUUAUUUACGAAAUGUGUUGCACAUUUAAAAAGCUUUUUCUGCAAAAUCCUUAGCCAAGUUCUAAAUUUAUCCUAAAUUCACCUAACCAGAAAAAUAAUUUAUUGUUCUAGCAUCGUUAAUUCGCGAAUAUUUUCAACCGUAGUUAAAUUACUGACAUGUAAGUUGUGUACACACAUACACAUAUAUACCUUACGAAUAAGCUUGACUGGUUCUGCCAUCUAGUAACUGUUAUAGACAAAAUAUUUUGUUCACUGGUAGCCAGUGAGACCUAUAAAAUUUACUUAUACUUCACUUUCCUCCACGGUACGGCUGGAAUAAUGAACUAUAACUUGUUUUCUUUUUUGUCAGGAAUAAAAUAUUGUAGUUUUGGUGAAAUAAAAAUAUUGUUUCU